UGGAGGAAUCCAGUCAGGAACAUUUUGGGCUGCUGGGGUGUUGUGGUCCUUCCUGAGGCCUGUGAUUAAAGCUUCACUCCCCACACCCUUGUGGCCCCAAAAGGGUAUGUUCUCCCUGGAGAAUAGCAGACCCUACGCAGGAGGGAUAGGGACCCAGGAAGCCUGGGAUUGGCCAAAUUGUCCAUAGAAAAUGUUUCUUAAAAAGACAGAGUAGAGAUAGCCAGGUAAAACUGGCAGGACUUUUCAUAAUGCUACAUUGUACAAUUAAAUAGACCCUUGAGAAUUGCUCCUGGAACAUGUAAGAAACGUGUAAUUUUAAGUUGGAUUAAUGUAGAGCUGGAGAUCUAUUUGUCAAAGGGAGUUUAACCCCUUCAGCAGUACUUAAUCUAACACGAAUCUAACGUGUUCUGUGAUAUAGUACUCUCCAAAUAUGUUGAAUGAAAGGAAGGGCUGUCACUUGUUCCAAAGCCCAGAAAUCACAUCUCAUCCAUGAGACCCAAAAGAGCCAACAACUGCAAGGCAGGGUUCUGUAUCAGGCAGGUAGCCCUGGUGGCAGUCUAGUCAGUUACCCGUGAGUGGGAGAACUGUGCUAAAGGAAGCCCAGGAAGAAGGGAGACAAUGGAGAAAUAAUGACAUGCUAAAAGUCUGGCUUUACAUUAGCCGUAGACUGAGGACUUCUGUGCAUAGGCAGAGAGUUUUGAAAAGGCAACUCUAGUAAUAACAUGAAUGGUUUUUCUCAACAUGUCCUGCCAGUGACUUCAUACGUAACAAAGAAAGACUGUCUCUGGCAGUUAGGGGAAAGGCAACAUCUAUGCUCAUUUCUUAAUGGGCAGAAUUAAUAUGUGUGUUAACUCUUGUGACUCAAUGUGUGAUCUAGAGCCAUAAAUUGAAGACUCAGUGCUCUUCCAGAGUUAGCUUGGGUCAAGAUGGCACACUAAAUGCUGGGACCUGGCAUAUGUUCAACAGGAAAAUGUGGCCCACAGCUGAACAAGGGAACUGUAUUGUGGAGCUCCGUUAAUGCUUGUUGACAACACUUUUAGCCAAACCUAGUUUAGAAUCAAGAAACUACCUCACUUACUGGAGUGAAAGGUUCACUGGUGAGCCACUACCGUUCACCCUUAGGCCACAUAUCUUAACCUUUUCGGAUGUAGCAGGUUCUGAGCAUUGUUUAAAAUGCAGGUAAAGAACUGUACAUCUCUCCCCCACAAAAUAAUCAAGGAUUGGUGAAAAAUUGCAUUCUUUUCAUUGACUUGCUCCUGAGCAUGGUAUUAUGUAAUACAGCCUACUGAUGGUGGGUUGUUUUGUGUUUUGUUUUUUUGGUCACUAGGAUGUUCCUUGGUGUAUAUUGUUAGAUUAGAAGCCAUUCCUCACUUCUGCUGAUUUUUUUUUUUUGUUCCCUUUAAUGCUUACGGUUUUGUCCAAAAAUCAUUCUUGCUGGCUUACAAAAACAGCAGGAACUGCAGCACCACUCCAUUUUAAGCCUGAUUUGUAUUAGCCAUUACAUUGGUUCCACAUGCUGCUAGGGUGGAGACAUCAUUUAAAUUCCCAACGCAGCCAGUCGGGCCAGGAAUUGCAACCCUGUGGUAAGUGGCAGUGACUUUCUAGUUCUUGAUUACGUUAUGCUAGAAAAGAGGAUUGUUCCCAGAGCAAUUUACCCAGAAGAAAUAAUGGAAAUAGAGUUCCAGGAUGACCUUACACCCCAGUGAUCUAGUUGGCUGGAGUCAGUUAUUACUCAGCUUCUCCAUCAUGGAGACUGCAGUAGUCUCAUGCUUUGUCAUCACUACGAUGUGGGUAGAUUCUGAGCUCACUGAGCACUUCAUAGGAGAGUAUGCGUGUGUAUGGCUGGUGAGAGGGGGAUUUAGGAAUGUGAGCAGAACAAAAUACGCAUUUUAUUUGAGACAGGUUUUGGUCCUGUUGGUGCUGAUUUUAAACUUGCUGUCUUUAGCGCUUUCUUCCUAUCUCUUUUUUUCUGAACCAUUGAUGCUGGGGUGUGUUUUAAAGGCGUUCAUCUAGGACAGUAUAGCCUGGGAUCCAGGGAAGGAGUGUUGUAGAAAACCUCUGCAGUGAGGCAGUCCUGUAAAAUUCUGUUUCAUUUCAGGACACAGAGCUUGAAAAGUUUUUCCUAGAAAUGUGCAAUGGGUCUGUCAGAAAACACGCCACUCCUCUUCCCAGUAGUUUCCUGCUGAAGUCAUUUAAGGCAUUUUGCUGCUUUCAUCUGUGUAUAUAGCGAGUACUUGUGGGCCAAGUUUUUUUAAUGGAACACAAAUAAAAAAUUUUGCUUUUAAAAAUCAUCAGUGAAGAGAGUUGGAAGCUGCUUUGUAUGCAAAAUUACCUCAGCAACUUACCAGUUUCUCAUUUCCAUUCUUUCCUCAAUUGCAGUGAAGUGGAGAAGCCAGAAAGAAUGACAUCCCUUGCUGACUGCCAAUACGUACAGAGGAUAUUAUGAAAUUAGAAGUGAAAAAUUUCCAAGUGGCAAGACAAGACUCAUAUUGGG